rnacentral:lncRNA from 1 species
AUGGGGUCUGGCUGGUGGCACAGCACUUUGAUGGGGAGCGGGGGAAAGCCCCACCACGUCCCAACCGCGCUCCCGGCGCUGGGCAGCCGAUCUGGCUGGGCUCCACGCUCCUAUUUAUUUAUUUACCCUCGAAAUUCCUCGGGCAGGGCCCAGGCAUGCGCCGUCCGGCUCUGGUGGGGCAGAAAUAUUCCAGAAACGCGCCCGACCUCUCCAGCACUUCAGCCAGACCACAGGCAUCCGGCGGCCGUGCCGGCGCGCCCCGCGUGCCCUGGUUGCCCCGCGCCGGCCUUUGCUCGCCCGCCAGCACCCGGGGCGCAUGGCCGACGUGCCGUGGUGCAGCUGGCUGCCAGCUCCUUGCUGCGCCCAGUGUCCCACCGGGGUGCUGGGACAUGGGUGGACGUGGCGGUGGGACGUGUGAGGUCCCCAAACCGGAGCGGUGGGGAGGCGCUGGGGGCUGUGGGGUUGGGGCUGUGGGAUUUGCAGUGCCCUGAUGUGAUUCCUCCUUCCAGCACCCUCCACCACGUCACGGCAGCAAUGCCAAGGGCGUUUCAGUCACCUGUCCCCGCUCUGUGCCCCAAGAGAGGCAAGUGGGGAAGGUUUGGGGCUGCCAUGUGGGGUCAGAAGGGACAUGGCCUCAGGCAAGGACGUGUGUGUGUGUCCCCAGGGUGGGCACACCUGGGAUCCCCGCCGUGCCCGUGCCCUGUGCUCGCUGCCCUCACCACGCGUCUCCUCGAGGUUUGGGGCAGUUUCUGUGGUGCUGCCGGUGCGCUCCGCUCCCUGCUGCCGGCCCCUUCCCGGCACGCACCGCGUGGGGAGGCCCCGGCCUCACUCGCCCUCGGUGCCGGUCCCGUGCCUCCGGGGAGACCUCGGUGCUCGGAGGGAGCUUUGCGGUGGACGCGGCCAUAUGGGGGCCGUGACACCGUGCUGGGGGUGGCCGGACUGGCGUGGUAUAAGCAGGGUGCUGACCCUCAUCCCUGUCCCACUGGCACGGUGACAGCCCCCCUGUGCCACCCCCCAUGGUGCACAGGGCUCUCCAUCCCCGGUAGCAUUUCGGGGGGCUGCCACGCUCUUGGCAAAGCAAGGCUCUCCGCCGCUCACCCCCAGCAAGCAGCAGCGGGGCCACGGGGAGUGCGGGAGCACCCGACCCCACUCCUCGGCACACGGAUCCCGCUCCACAGGGGCGGGCAGUGGGACAUGAGGGGGGGCUGGACGCUUCCCCCCCGCGGCGCCAGCCUGCCGCGGGCCCACAUCACUUCCUCCAGCGGCGAAGAGGCCCCCGCUGCCCGAGCUUCCCCCCCGUGCGCCCUCCGCCUGCUGCGCGCGCCGCCGGGGCCCUCGCAUUCCUCGGCUAUUUUUAGGGUGGCCCUAUCAGCCCAGCUGUCCCCGCGCCGCCGCGCGCCUCUCCCACCACCCUGA